UGCAUUUAGGUGCAGCCUUGCGGGUUACUGAUGUGAGGUAGAGCGACUGAUAAGAUGCGAGGGCUUCACCGCCUAUCAAGUCUUGACAAACUCCGAAUGCGCAUCAGUUCUACCGCAGGAGUGAGGGCAUGGGUGCUAAGGUCCGUGCCCGAGAGGAGAAGAAUCCGGACCACCUGCUAAGGUCCCGAAAUUACAGCUAAGUUAAACUAACGAAGUCUGACUGCUAAGACAGCUAGGAUGUUUGCUUGGAAGCAGCAAUUCAUUUAAAGAGUGCGUAACAGCUCACUAGUCGAGCGGUUGAGCGUGGAUGAUAAACGGGCAUCAAAUCUAUUACCGAAGCUAUGGAUUUAUACAGUGAUGUAUGAGUGGUAGAGGAGCAUUCUAACAGCGUCGAAGGUGAGUCGUGAGGCUUGCUGGAGCGGUUAGAAAAGCCAAUGUAGGCAUAAGUAACGAUAAGGCAGGUGAGAAACCUGCC
rnacentral:rRNA from 1 species